GUCUAGAAGAGCCACCCGAUUACAUUUUAUCUCCAUCCAAAUUCGCUUGGUGCUAAACCAGAAGUUAGCCAACUUGGUCGAUGGAAGUCCCAAGUGUGCAUGCUCUAUGGGAGCCCAGCUUGACAGCCAACUCCACAAUUAAAGUCUGAUUCUGUGGGAAACACUGCAUUAAUUUUCCAAAAAGUAGGACAAACAGUACACAACAUUUUUGUUUACCUGUCCUCCGAAAAAAGAAUGAGAAAAAUACAGAUUUAAUAACUUUCUGUAUAAAACCAACAGGAAACACCCGGGAAGUAUUUUUCAAAACAUCACUUAAAAAUACUAGUUAAACAUAUUCAUCAAUAAUUACAUAUCAUAUAAUCCGAGGUUAAUGUGACAUCACUAACUCUUGAUUUUACGAUAAACAGCAUCAUUUCAGUGACUGGCCAGUAUCUGAUUUUUAAUACACAGGUUAAGACCAGCCCAAUAGAAAAUACAGAACAACUUAAUUUUUACUACAGCCUGCAGAGCUCCGCUGGCAGUGGCCGGGGUGUAAACAGUCUGUCUGUUUUCUGCUGUCUGCUUUAUGGGACCGGCGGGUCGAUGGGCACCUCGGCCAUUACUCAACAGGCAGCGGAAAGUACAGCACCACUUAACAGCUCUUUAUCUUUACACACUUGCGGCACUCAACUGGGGUUAGGAAAGUAAAAGAGGGAAGACAGAUGUUACUCGUCAUGUUACAGACACACAGUGGCUAAAUAUUGGACAGUCGGGGUCAGUUUGACCACCUUAGCUGGUGCAACUUUAUAGCAUCUGGAUAUGAUUUGAAAGGGGUCCCAUUAGGCGUUCUUGGCUUUUGCCUUUCCUUUAUUCUGCUAUGUAGCAUUUUUAUGCACGUAAAAAGAACUUCAAAGUAAAAAAGCCCAAAGUCAACUCUCUCCCACUGAAAACACUGCUCCUGCACUGCCUGAAGAGCCUGGUUUGGAGUUAAGCAUUUUUCUUCCGUAACAUGUGUGCAUCACUGUGUAAAAGGCGUUACAUAAAUAUAUAUAUUUUAUAUCUGUUGACUUGACUCCAGUCACUCGACAGACAUACAGCUGCUACUGCUGUAACGGAGUUAUUUUCGAUUACACUAUGUUGCUCAGCAUGAACCACCGCACUCUGCCUCUGAUUGGCUACAUCCUGCCUGUUAAGUCACCAAAGACUGAACAGAGGUGAGAUGUCUCACUCUGUAGCUAAAGCAGAGACACAAUGUGAAGAUGGAUGCUGUUGAGACAAAAUAUAUAAAAUAGUUUGCAAUCACCAACAUAUAUCCAUCUCAGCACAUUGGUUCUGGUUUUCCAGGGCUACUACCUGUAUGAACAAAGCAUCCCGGUCUGAAAAGUAAAACCAGUGCCUUAAGACUGCAUUCUUUUAUAUAGCUGGUAGGGGGUGACUCCACUGGUUUCAAAAAUAAAAUUGUCCAAUUGUAUGGAAUCCUACAAAAAAAAUCACCAAAUGUCUCACUUAAUUUUUUACCCCAGUAAAUGGUCUGCUCAUGACUUUAUGGUCUCAAUCUCUAGUUUCAAGUAUUCUUUCGUACAGAACGAUCUUGAUUUUGUGCGUUUUGGUCCCGAUUAGAGUAAAAUAGACCAAAAAAAAUUUUGUUUGUUGAGGUAGCCACAAUCUGAAGCGUAGAUUGUGGCUACCUCAACAAACAAUAAUUAUUAUUUUCACUUAAUCUGAUGUUUCUUGUCUUGAUCAAUCCAUUAGUUGUUUGUUCUCUAAAGUGUCAGAAAAUUUUGAAAAAUGCCCAACAGUGUUUCUCAAAGCCUUUAAAUGUCUUCUUUUGUCCGCAACCCAAAGAUAUUUCUGUUUUUGUUACUGAGGAGAAAAUAACUAUAAAAGGAUAUCAAGAAAAUAUUCACAUUGAAGAAGGUGGAAUCAGAGGAUACUGGCUUAUUUUUCUUUAAAAAAAGGAAACCAAUUAAUGCUGCAAGCAGCGAUGAUCGGGCCGUCGCCACCCACGUACGUUGGGCUGUGACGCUGUUGGAACAAGUGCAUGUAGAUAUUUGCAUGUGCACGCCUUUCGUGGAUGUGGUCUGAAUGGGUGAAAUGACACUUCUUUUGAUUAUGAGGAGCUAGAAAAGAGCCAUAAAGUCACACACACACAGCCAUUAAUCAUAAGGGAAUGUAGUGUAAGUCAAUGACAUUCAAGAGUCAGCUGUAAGGAUGUGUGUUGUCUUGCAACGCGUUGCAUUUAGCAUGACUGAUAUAAGUAUUUUAUGUCAACAGCAACAUUCCAUUCCGGACGUAUAUUAAGGGCAGGUUCACCGGACAGCAAUUCUUGAGUCUGAUUUUUCAGACACAGCCAUGUUAACGUGAGAAAGAAAAGUGAGGAACAACGUGGCGGUAUCUGUUUAUCAGAGACAACAACAGCAUUUUUCUGAGACAGAACGAAAUGGAGUACUCUAGCAAGAGCCCCCCACAGACAUGUCUCGGGAGAGACUUGUCCAAGAGCUCGAAGACACCAAAGAGCAGCUGAGGAAGCAGAAAACCCUGAAGGUAAUGUAUAUCAACAGGGGGAAAGAGACCACCAGAGAGCUGGAGCGGCUGAGAAAGUACAGCAAUGAUGUAACUCUCUGUAACGCAAAGACAGCUACUCAGACUGAUGUCAUUGAAGUCAGACAGCAGGUUGAGUCUCUUCAACUCGAGCUUCAGAAGGCAGCCCAGCAAAGAAAACUCCUUCAACAACAAUACAAGUAGCUGAAAAUGGCACAAACAUCCAGCCAGGACAAGUUUACUGCUGAGCUCCAGGUGGAGCAGCAGAAGAACAACCUUCU